rnacentral:rRNA from 1 species
UACGUAGGGGGGCAAGCGUUGUCCGGAAUCAUUGGGCGUAAAGAGCGUGUAGGCGGCUCGAUGAAGUCUGACUGUGAAAGUCCAGGGCUCAACCCUGGAAGGCCGGUGGAAACUGUCGGGCUAGAGUCCGGAAGAGGCGGAGUGGAAUUCCCGGUGUAGCGGUGAAAUGCGCAGAUAUCGGGAGGAACACCAAUGCGAAGGCAAGCUCGCUGGGACGGUACUGGCGAACGCUGAGACGGCGGAAAAGCCGAUGGGGGAGCAAACAGGGGAAUUAAGAAAACCCCGUUGGU